rnacentral:tRNA from 1 species
AGGACUUUAAGUUAUGAAGACUAUAAUAUUUCAAGUAUUAAAGAGGGUGUGCCCAAGUUCUG